rnacentral:rRNA from 1 species
GAUGAACGCUAGCGGGAGGCUUAACACAUGCAAGUCGAGGGGCAGCAUAGGGUAGCAAUACUCUGAUGGCGACCGGCAAACGGGUGAGUAACGCGUAUGCAACCUACCCUGUACAGGGGGAUAACCCGGAGAAAUUCGGACUAAUAUCCCGUAAUAAUAUCCGGAGGCAUCUUUGGAUAUUUAAAGUUCCGACGGUACGGGAUGGGCAUGCGUAACACUAACUGGUUGGUAAGGUAACGGCUUACCAAGGCUAUGAUGUUUAGGGGUCCUGAGAGGGUGGUCCCCCACACUGGUACUGAGACACGGACCAGACUCCUACGGGAGGCAGCAGUGAGGAAUAUUGGUCAAUGGGCGCAAGCCUGAACCAGCCAUCCCGCGUGCAGGAAGACGGCCCUAUGGGUUGUAAACUGCUUUUCCAGGGAGAGAAACUUACGCACGUGUUGCGUGACUGACGGUACCCUGGGAAUAAGCAUCGGCUAACUCCGUG